rnacentral:rRNA from 1 species
GAUCCAGGCGGGGGGGCUGCAUUA